rnacentral:rRNA from 1 species
UCCUACGGGGGGCAGCAGUGAGGAAUAUUGGUCAAUGGUCGGGAGACUGAACCAGCCAAGCCGCGUGAGGGAGGAAGGUACAGAGUAUCGUAAACCUCUUUUGUCAGGGAACAGAGACUGGGACGCGUCCCCGGAUGAGUGUACCUGAAGAAAAAGCAUCGGCUAACUCCGUGCCAGCAGCCGCGGUAAUACGGAGGAUGCGAGCGUUAUCCGGAUUUAUUGGGUUUAAAGGGUGCGCAGGCGGUCUGUUAAGUCAGCGGUCAAAGCCCGGGGCUCAACCCCGGCCCGCCGUUGAAACUGGCAGG